UGACCACAGUGGGGUCAUAUGUUGAUGUACUGCACGCUGUUGUCUCUGAUUAGCACCCGAGAGCUGUGUAGGGAGCAGCGCACACUAAUUAAAGGUAUCAAACCCUAUCUGUGUCCGAUGACAGCAGAGUUUAGGAGUGACACUAGAAUCCUGUGUGUGUAAUUAGACAUCCAGAGGCAGCUCCCCCAGCAGGCUCUUAAUGACGGAGCCAGUCGACUCAGUGAUUGCAUCAAUACCCACCCCUGUCCUCGCUGUGCUCCGGAGCCAUCAACACUCUCAGUGGGGAUACAAAGCCCCUGCUGGAAAACUAUUGGAAUUUCCCUUUGGCUGUACUGUCGCUUUUUCCUCGAGGCCUGGAUGGGCGCUGGCCUCACAACCCAGACUGAAGCAGGACCAGCCCAUGGAAAAUGAGGACUAAAGGCUGACCUGUGGGACAGAUAAACACUUAAGAGGUGUGUCAGUCAUGCAAGAAGCUCACAUGGAAAAUGUUUGUUGUAUAUUUCAAGUACUGUAGUUACUUGGAUUUCAUUUGAUAUGGAUUGGGUUCAUAAAAGCAGUUUGAAUGGAAUAAAGUAGAUCAAGAGUGUACAAGAUAAAGAAAAAGAAAAUUGUAUUCAAAAUAUUCAAAGAUCAAAUUAUCUGACAUUUAUUGACAGCGUUGGGGGUAAUGCAUUACAAGUAAUUCUAGUUAUGUAAUCAGAUUACUUUUUUUCAAGUAACUAGUAAUGCAUUACUUUUACAUUUACAAUGAAAUAUAUGAGUUACUUUUUCAAAUAAGUAACGCAACUUGCUUUGUUUUCCCACUUAUUCUCUCCUGUCUCUGUGUUGAGAGAAAUCGUGAGUGAGGUGCAGAGGCAUUUCCUUCGGCCUGAGGAUUAUUAAGUUCACUUUUGGUGUGAAAGACAAACAAACAAACAAAAACCCAGUUCAGGUGACAAAAGGUAACACAAGCAUAGCGCAAUGCAUUACUUUUAAAAGUAAAUUUUCCCAACACUGACCCCUAAUAUAUAAUAAAAAAAUCUAUAUUAUCAAAACAUAAAAAAGUUGCUUUCACAGAUUUGCUGCACUGAGCAAGAGAAGGCUGCUUGGUGUGAA
rnacentral:lncRNA from 1 species